rnacentral:rRNA from 1 species
CAGGUUUACCUGUGUGACUGCGUACCUUUUGUAUAAUGGGUCAGCGACUUAUAUUCUGUAGCAAGGUUAACCGAAUAGGGGAGCCGGAGGGAAACCGAGUCUUAAUUGGGCGUUAAGUUGCAGGGUAUAGACCCGAAACCCGGUGAUCUAGCCAUGGGCAGGUUGAAGGUUGGGUAACACUAACUGGAGGACCGAACCGACUAAUGUUGAAAAAUUAGCGGAUGACCUGUGGCUGGGGGUGAAAGGCCAAUCAAACCGGGAGAUAGCUGGUUCUCCCCGAAAGCUAUUUAGGUAGCGCCUCGUGAAUUCAUCUCCGGGGGUAGAGCACUGUUUCGGCUAGGGGGCCAUCCCGGCUUACCAACCCGAUGCAAACUGCGAAUACCGGAGAAUGUUAUCACGGGAGACACACGGCGGGUGCUAACGUCCGUCGUGAAGAGGGAAACAACCCAGACCGCCAGCUAAGGUCCCAAAGUCAUGGUUAAGUGGGAAACGAUGUGGGAAGGCCCAGACAGCCAGGAUGUUGGCUUAGAAGCAGCCAUCAUUUAAAGAAAGCGUAAUAGCUCACUGGUCGAGUCGGCCUGCGCGGAAGAUGUAACGGGGCUAAACCAUGCACCGAAGCUGCGGCAGCGACACUGUGUGUUGUUGGGUAGGGGAGCGUUCUGUAAGCCUGUGAAGGUGUGUCGUGAGGCAUGCUGGAGGUAUCAGAAGUGCGAAUGCUGACAUAAGUAACGAUAAAGCGGGUGAAAAGCCCGCUCGCCGGAAGACCAAGGGUUCCUGUCCAACGUUAAUCGGGGCAGGGUGAGUCGACCCCUAAGGCGAGGCCGAAAGGCGUAGUCGAUGGGAAACGGGUUAAUAUUCCCGUACUUGGUGUUACUGCGAAGGGGGGACGGAGAAGGCUAUGUUGGCCGGGCGACGGUUGUCCCGGUUUAAGCGUGUAGGUGUGUGUUCCAGGUAAAUCCGGUUCACUUUAACACUGAGGCGUGACGACGAGGCACUACGGUGCUGAAGCAACAAAUGCCCUGCUUCCAGGAAAAGCCUCUAAGCAUCAGGUAACAUCAAAUCGUACCCCAAACCGACACAGGUGGUCAGGUAGAGAAUACCAAGGCGCUUGAGAGAACUCGGGUGAAGGAACUAGGCAAAAUGGUGCCGUAACUUCGGGAGAAGGCACGCUGACACGUAGGUGAAGUGAUUUACUCAUGGAGCUGAAGUCAGUCGAAGAUACCAGCUGGCUGCAACUGUUUAUUAAAAACACAGCACUGUGCAAACACGAAAGUGGACGUAUACGGUGUGACGCCUGCCCGGUGCCGGAAGGUUAAUUGAUGGGGUCAGCGCAAGCGAAGCUCCUGAUCGAAGCCCCGGUAAACGGCGGCCGUAACUAUAACGGUCCUAAGGUAGCGAAAUUCCUUGUCGGGUAAGUUCCGACCUGCACGAAUGGCGUAAUGAUGGCCAGGCUGUCUCCACCCGAGACUCAGUGAAAUUGAACUCGCUGUGAAGAUGCAGUGUACCCGCGGCAAGACGGAAAGACCCCGUGAACCUUUACUAUAGCUUGACACUGAACAUUGAGCCUUGAUGUGUAGGAUAGGUGGGAGGCUUUGAAGUGUGGACGCCAGUCUGCAUGGAGCCGACCUUGAAAUACCACCCUUUAAUGUUUGAUGUUCUAACGUGGACCCGUUACCCGGGUUGCGGACAGUGUCUGGUGGGUAGUUUGACUGGGGCGGUCUCCUCCUAAAGAGUAACGGAGGAGCACGAAGGUUGGCUAAUCCUGGUCGGACAUCAGGAGGUUAGUGCAAUGGCAUAAGCCAGCUUGACUGCGAGCGUGACGGCGCGAGCAGGUGCGAAAGCAGGUCAUAGUGAUCCGGUGGUUCUGAAUGGAAGGGCCAUCGCUCAACGGAUAAAAGGUACUCCGGGGAUAACAGGCUGAUACCGCCCAAGAGUUCAUAUCGACGGCGGUGUUUGGCACCUCGAUGUCGGCUCAUCACAUCCUGGGGCUGAAGUAGGUCCCAAGGGUAUGGCUGUUCGCCAUUUAAAGUGGUACGCGAGCUGGGUUUAGAACGUCGUGAGACAGUUCGGUCCCUAUCUGCCGUGGGCGCUGGAGAACUGAGGGGGGCUGCUCCUAGUACGAGAGGACCGGAGUGGACGCAUCACUGGUGUUCGGGUUGUCAUGCCAAUGGCACUGCCCGGUAGCUAAAUGCGGAAGAGAUAAGUGCUGAAAGCAUCUAAGCACGAAACUUGCCCCGAGAUGAGUUCUCCCUGAGACUUAAAGUCUCCUGAAGGA